AGAGUUUGAUCCUGGCUCAGGACGAACGCUGGCGGCAGGCUUAACACAUGCAAGUCGAGCGGGGAAGGGUAGCUUGCUACCUGACCUAGCGGCGGACGGGUGAGUAAUGCUUAGGAAUCUGCCUAUUAGUGGGGGACAACAUUCCGAAAGGAAUGCUAAUACCGCAUACGCCCUACGGGGGAAAGCAGGGGAUCUUCGGACCUUGCGCUAAUAGAUGAGCCUAAGUCAGAUUAGCUAGUUGGUGGGGUAAAGGCCUACCAAGGCGACGAUCUGUAGCGGGUCUGAGAGGAUGAUCCGCCACACUGGGACUGAGACACGGCCCAGACUCCUACGGGAGGCAGCAGUGGGGAAUAUUGGACAAUGGGCGAAAGCCUGAUCCAGCCAUGCCGCGUGUGUGAAGAAGGCCUUUUGGUUGUAAAGCACUUUAAGCGAGGAGGAGGCUACUUGGAUUAAUACUCUAGGAUAGUGGACGUUACUCGCAGAAUAAGCACCGGCUAACUCUGUGCCAGCAGCCGCGGUAAUACAGAGGGUGCGAGCGUUAAUCGGAUUUACUGGGCGUAAAGCGUGCGUAGGCGGCUUUUUAAGUCGGAUGUGAAAUCCCUGAGCUUAACUUAGGAAUUGCAUUCGAUACUGGGAAGCUAGAGUAUGGGAGAGGAUGGUAGAAUUCCAGGUGUAGCGGUGAAAUGCGUAGA
rnacentral:rRNA from 1 species